rnacentral:lncRNA from 1 species
CCCCUGAUAGUACCUGAAUCUAAAAUGUCUGACUCAAGAGUAAACUCACAAGAUAUUCAACUCUGCUUAAUUUGGCAGUCAAUAUUUUCUUAGAAUAACAAUGAAAAAUAAGGAUAUUUUUCAAGAUGUUCCAAUAGCUAUUAUAUGCACAAAUUUAUGCUAACAGAGAUGUUAAGUUUCCCAUUGCAGGCCAACAGUAUAAAAGAAGCUGAAAGGCCAUUUAUUUUAUACUUUGGAAUAUUACAUUUACGCAAAAUUCAGGAGUAUGAUAUGUGAAUACAGGGUAAUAAAUCAUUUCUGGCAGAGGGUAAUUAAAGAGAUUAAUAAUAUCCCCCGUGCCUUGAUACUGAAAAUAAAACAAAAUGAAUUUCACAUCUUCUUUGUAUCAUAUUUCUUAUGUAUUUCUUUCCCCCUCAUGCGGAUCAUUCUUCUUAUAAACAAUAAACAUAUAUUCUAGGAUAUAAAUGCAACACUUUCUUCCCAGGAUUACCAUAUACUAAAAAGCAAGUAUUUGCAUUGAUACUAUACUUAUAAAUUUUACUAAAAUCAAUUGACAAAAGUCAUUCAUCAUAAGUCCCUAAAACGCUAUGAAAUUCUAUCACCGACUAUUUGACAAAGUAUUACAAUAUACAGACAGUUCUCAAUUCAACCAAAUACCCAUGUGACAUUCCCGGUGGCCCGAAUGGUCUCUUAAAUAACUAUUUACUGCUCCUCUUUAAUGAGCACUUAGUAUGUUCCUGGGCACUACAGUGAAUGCUUUGCAUUGCCUAAUUUAAUCAUUCCUCCCAUUCUACGAAUAAAUAAAUCUACUCACUUUUUACAGGUAGGACAACAGAGACUUAUCAGGUUUAACUAUUUGCCCAAGAUCAUUUGGCUUCAAAAGGCUGGAUCUGGGGUUUGCAUUUCACCAUAUCUGAUUGGGCAGCUAGGUAGAAGGACUCUAUACAUUCUCUCUUCCUCCUAACUCACUGUUAGGAAGAGACUGCAUGUAUAGACAGUGGAGUCAAUUCGGUAUGCAGUGUCCCCAAGCAAGUCAAGGUCAGAAGGACCUGCGCUCCUCUAGAGGAUCCGCUGUUAGGAUCCAUUCCUGGGAUAGAAUCCAGAAGUGGAGGGAGGAUCAUUCAAGAUGGAAAGAGAACAGAGGCUUGGAACACUCAGGUACAGACCAGCCAGCACAACUGGAGACAAGGAUAGUACAUGAUCUGCAAAGCACUUGCAUCUUUCUGUGCACUUCUGGCUUACGCUUCCUCUUGCCUACUCAUCUUGGAUGCCCUGUGCCUAUCGGGGGGGAUGACAAAGAUGGCGCUACCAACUAUGAUACCACUCAGAUGCAGACCUCGCUUGUCUCAGAUUCUACUACUGUUUUUGCAUUUUCACCAGGAAAAAAAAAAAAGUGCCAGGUAUUAGGAAGUAAGAAAGAUGACUAUAGUAUCCCUGCGACCUUCUAGGAAUUUAUACCUACAGAUAAGUAAGGAAUACAUCUAGUCCAAUCCCUUGAAUAAACCUACAGUAUUUGGGGAACUAGAAUUCAUACAGAAACAUUUCCUUUAACCUGCCUUCAGAAAGCUCGUUCCUCGACUGAGAAAAAGUCACACAUGAACACUUUGAAUAUUUUCCAGUGCGUGUAUAAUAGAAAAAGAGCAGAGGGUGGUUGAUAAGAGUGUCAAAGUAGCAUGCCAGUUUCUAAACUCAUUCCCAGAAGUAAGGCAAUAGGUGUCACUGCCAAAGUUGCUACAGUACACUUGCUUCCCUGGAAAUCAUGCUACAGGUGUGUGGGCUGAUGAUGGCUGUUCUAACCUUCACCCAUGGAAACACAUGAUUGAGGUAUAAGAGAAGGGGGGCCUGUAGAGAGUCUCCAAUGGUCUUUAUAGUCCACUAGCAUCUUUCUAAGGGUUAUGAUGAACACAUCAGUGGUGGUAAAACCAGGCUCUGGAACUACCAUGUGUUCUUUAUUUAAAAAUACUCUCGUGGAGCUCCCUUGUGGCACAGUGGGUUAAGGAUCUGGCGUUGUCAUUCCAGCAGCUUGGGUCACUGCUGCGGCACAGGUUUGAUUCCUGGCCCAGGAACUUCUACAUGCCACAGGUAUGGCCAAAAAAAUACUUUAGCAAUGUACUAACUGGGAUGACUCCAUGUGGAAUUUCCAUUUGGGAUUCAUCUUCUGGAUUCUGUGGAGUUUCUAGGGUGGAUGGAACUGCCAGAUUGAGAUUGGAACAACAGCCUCUAUCCUUUGACACAAAAGUCAAUAGGGUAACAGUGACAACCAUAAACUAAAGACAAGCCCAUUACACAUUUUCUCUCAGCAAAGUCCCCAGAAAAACCGUAUUUAACAGCAUAUUAUCACCUAUGUGAAAGUAAACAGAAGAUAGCAAUUUCAAGAAUGCGUCCAUCCUUGUCUAGGAAAUGUCCCUCAUCUCUUGCACUUCUGGGCAUUUACUUGGCCUGCAGGGAGCUAACACCCUUCCUCCUAGAAAAAAUGUACUCUCUUACACAUGCUGGUGCAUGUCUUUAUUGAGGGAUCAAAUGAACAAAGAGGGAGAGAGAAAGAAGGGAAGCUUGCCAAGAAGUCACAUAGUAUUUAAAGUCAGUAAGACGAGCAAUGAUGCUGACAGUCUGUCUUUCAGGAAGAGUGUACAAGCCUUCAGAUAAGUUUGUCUCUCUCCAAUGUCACUCAAUAACUUCUAAUAUACUGCCUUAGGCCAAUUAGGCAAUCGAAGUCCAGGGCAGGGGGGUUACACAUUAGAACGACACGGAAAGGACACAUCCAAAAAGAGGUCCCAGAUUCCUGCCCUUGACUUACCUCUGGCAGAUUAUGUCCCAAUAAGACGUAAAUCCCCUUUCCUCACCUUUUUCUUUUUUCGCAUUACACAAUUUAAAAUAAAAUGUUUAGAAAGGAAUCUAAGCCUUCCCCCCUCUCCAAAUCCUAUGUCUUAUUAUAUAAAUUGAGGCUUUCUGGUAUUUGUAUGAAAACCAGAGAGCAGGCUUCUGAGAGGUCUGAACAUAUUUACGGCAACCGUUUCAACAUUAUUAUGCUCCCAAAUAAUUUAUAAUGUCAGGAUUAAUAAAGUAAAUAAAACAGCCCUUCGCAUACAAUGGACUUUUUAAAUUCAAGGUGUGAAGGCAGACAGGACAAGGGAAAAGAGCUUCUUUUAUUUUAGUUGACGGUUUUUAUUUACUAAAAUCCCACUACUCCAACAUCAGAACACACAAGCACAAACACGUCCCUGCUCUUUCUCCUAACUAUCAUUCGUUUCCUCCUCUUCCCAUUGGGAUUACACAAGCGGAUGACAGAACUGGGAGGAGAUUAGAGAUAUUUUGUGACUCUUCAACAUCAGCUCCCUCUUUUCAAAUGGCUAAACACACACACACACACACGUGCACACACACACAUACACAGAGGCAUAAGUAUGUACAUUCAUACAUUUUAACCAUUCUCUCCUUCCCCAGUUGUGUUUGGAAUACUGACAGAAGCCAUCACAAUUUAUUUUAAAAGUCUAAUAUCUAUUUCCUGUCUCCUUUACCCAUCGCAUUAUGAAUCAUAAAAACUGAGGUGAUUGCUCUUGUGAAAAGUAUAUGACAAACAUUUACUGUUGAAAAAAUAAUAUGAUGUCCUCAACCAAAACCUGAAUAAAUACAAGAUAAUGAGUAUCUGAGAAAAUAGAGUCAGAACAAAAACUUCACAUUCAUUUGUAAACUACACAGAAAAAAAAGUAAGUGAAAGAGUUAAGCCUCUUCCAAACAGAUCUCAAAUCACCUAAGAAACAUUUUAGUCUUUAUUAUUUUAAGAACAAAAUAAGCCAUUUCAUCUUUUUUCUUCAUUUAAAAAUGCCCAUGAUUUCAUUAGUUCUGUUUUUGGUGUUCUAUUUUGGGGGCUGUGAUGAGAGCUAUUUCACAUCUUCAAGAAGUGGUGGUGCAGAAAUAAUGGGAUCGCUACACCCUAGAUAAUUUAAAAUGGAAAUCCGAGUGGCAGUUCUGGGAGUGAUAAAAAGAAGCCAUAUGCACACUUCGACUCUCUUGAGCCCCAGCAAAGUUUUCAGAGUCUUCUAAGACACUGAAAGCAGAAUUUUCUCUGGUCCAACUAUGCUGUGGUUUGACUCAUCUAAUUUUAUUCUAGCGCAAUCUAGAGGAAGCCAUACAGACACACAAAAAUGGGUAUAUUGGAUUCUGAUAGUCUCUUGUAAUUCUAACGAGAUGGCCACAGAUAAAACUACUUUUAUCUAAAAAUACAUGUUUAACAUUUUAGCUAUUUUCCCAUAGUGAAAAAAAAAAACCUAAGGGCAGAUCUCACUAACAGCUUCUGAGGCUUCAUUAUCCUGAUGACUGUUCUAGAAUUCUGGUCAGUAGCAAUUAUCAGUCAUAGCUGGCUCACCUCAGAAGACAAAAGGAAUGGCCUGAAAAACUCCAUAAUGUGGUUGCUGUGAGCAGGGAAGAGCUCAAGGUGCAUUCAGUAUCCUCAUUAGAUUGCCCAGCUGACAUGCUCAAGAUCUCAGGCAGACACGGAGGCACUACUGCAGGAUCCUUCUUGGGCAUCCACUGCCCUGAACUACCCUCCCCGUGCCCUGGUGCUCUCACGCCUUGACCUCCCUGCCCAGGUACCCAAGUCCCCAUCCUGCUCCAUCCUCUCUUCCCGAUACUUCAGACCGGACUCCCGAAAUUUACGUCCCAUUCCUCUAUCAUCAACAUUACAUUAAAUCUGAGAAGUCCCUAUUUCGUAGGUCUUUCCCUAAGUGUAUUCAAAGUGGUCCCUUUCUAAUAGUCCCUGAAGAGUAUGUUCUCACCUCAUCUAUUUAUUUUACUACCACUCUGCAGCCCAAGAUGGGACAACCAGGGCUCAGUACAGCUAACAAUGAACAAAUGAAUGACAUAAUUGGCAAGUUAAUGGACAUCGUUGAAACCCUCGGGCAACUGGGAGGCCAGCAGGGUCCUCCACCAUCCAAGGAUUAGCUAUCAACCUGGGGGCAUCUGGAGUAAGAGGAAAGGUUUGAGAUACAGCUUCGAGUUUACCUCAUCACUUGUUCCAUGGGUAGGAAAAGAAAGGGCUGCAAAUGGAGGAGGUAUAACUCUGAGCUUUGAAUAGUAAGGGAACGAAAACAGGACUGCCCGAGUAUAGUCAGAAAAUGAAACCUACCACCGCU